UACGUAGGGGGCGAGCGUUGUCCGGAUUCAUUGGGCGUAAAGAGCUCGUAGGCGGCUUGGUAAGUCGGGUGUGAAACCUCCAGGCUCAACCUGGAGACGCCACUCGAGACUGUCCUGGCUGGAGUCCGGUAGGGGACCACGGAAUUCCUGGUGUAGCGGUGAAAUGCGCAGAUAUCAGGAGGAACACCAGUGGCGAAGGCGGUGGUCUGGGCCGGUACUGACGCUGAGGGGCGAAAGCGUGGGGAGCGAACAGGAUUAGAUACCCUGGUAGUCCACGCCGUAAACGUUGGGCACUAGGUGUGGGACCUUAUCAACGGGUUCCGUGCCGCAGCUAACGCAUUAAGUGCCCCGCCUGGGGAGUACGGCCGCAAGGCUAAAAC
rnacentral:rRNA from 1 species